UUUGUCCUACGCAACAGGUGUUGCAUCUGUGACUGCUGUGUCACAUGUGUGCCAGUAGGUGACAGAGAGGAGAGAAGCUAUGUCUACUCUCAGUGUUCUGACAUAUAAACAUCUAAAUGAUUAGUAAUCUACUAUU